rnacentral:rRNA from 1 species
UACAGAGGUCCCAACCGUUGUUCGGAUUCAUUGGGCGUAAAGGGUGCGUAGGCGGCGGGGCAAGUCAGGUGUGAAAUCUCGGGGCUCAACCCCGAAACUGCACUUGAUACUGCCUUGCUCGAGUACUGGAGAGGAGACUGGAAUUUACGGUGUAGCAGUGAAAUGCGUAGAUAUCGUAAGGAAGACCAGUGGCGAAGGCGAGUCCCUGGACAACACCUGACACUGAGGCACGAAAGCUAGGGGAGCAAACAGG